rnacentral:rRNA from 1 species
UACGUAGGGUGCAAGCGUUAAUCGGAAUUACUGGGCGUAAAGCGUGCGCAGGCGGUGAUGUAAGAACAGGUUGUGAAAAUCCCCCGGGGCUUACCACUGGGGAACUGCAUUUCGUGAGCUGCAUCGCUGGAGUGCGGCAGAGGGGGAUGGAAUUCCGCGUGUAGCAGUGAAAUGCGUAGAUAUGCGGAGGAACACCGAUGGCGAAGGCAAUCCCCUGGGCCUGCACUGGACGCUCAUGCACGAAAGCGUGGGGAGCGAAACAAGGAAUGAUAUACCCGUC